rnacentral:rRNA from 1 species
GGGGAAUAUUGCGCAAUGGGCGAAAGCCUGACGCAGCCAUACCGCGUGUGUGAAGAAGGCCUUCGGGUUGUAAAGCACUUUCAGUGGGGAGGAAAAGCUGGCGGCUAAUAUCCGCUGGCCGUGACGCUACCCACAGAAGAAGCACCGGCUAAUUCCGUGCCAGCAGCCGCGGUAAUACGGAAGGUGCGAGCGUUAAUCGGAAUUACUGGGCGUAAAGCGCACGUAGGUGGCUUGGUAAGUCGGAUGUGAAAGCCCCGGGCUCAACCUGGGAACGGCAUUCGAUACUGCUGAGCUAGAGUACGAAAGAGGGGGGUGGAAUUCCAGGUGUAGCGGUGAAAUGCGUAGAGAUCUGGAGGAACACCGGUGGCGAAGGCGGCCCCCUGGUUCGAUACUGACGCUGAGGUGCGAAAGCGUGGGGAGCAAAC